UACGGGGGGGGCAAGCGUUGUUCGGAAUUACUGGGCGUAAAGGGUUCGUAGGUGGCCAACUAAGUCAGACGUGAAAUCCCUCAGCUUAACUGGGGAACUGCGUCUGAUACUGGAUGGCUUGAAUCCGGGAGAGGGAUGCAGAAUUCCAGGUGUAGCGGUGAAAUGCGUAGAUAUCUGGAGGAAUACCGGUGGCGAAGGCGGCAUCCUGGACCGGCAUUGACGCUGAGGAGCGAAAGCUAGGGGAGCAAACGGG
rnacentral:rRNA from 1 species